GAGAUUUAUAGAGAUAAAGAAUAGAAUCUGGAAAAAGAAAGUGUUGAGCAUGAUAAAAAUUAGCACCUUAGCAUGUGCAAAUUAUUGUUCAAAAUGACAACAAAAUAGCAGCGAAUGCAUAAUAAAAGUUUUAACUCCUUUAGUGAAAAAUCCUAAUUUGCCUCUAAAUAAACGAUUCCUGAUUAUAUACCUAUAAAUUAGAUUAUAUUUACAUUACAUUUACUAUUAUUACAUAAUUUUAAUUAUUUAUAUAUAACUUUAAUAAAUUGUCGAUACUUGUAUUCCAAGCUGACGAAUUUUAGAAAUGGUUGGAUGUUCAAAAAGGACUAUGGUUAGGAUUAUUAAACAGUAGUAACAACUUAAAAAACAUUUUAAAAGAAAUUUGGUCAAAAUUAUGGCAAAAAUGCAUAACUUUCAGACAAAAGAUUUAAAUUAUAAAGAAAUAACAUCAAGUCAAGUAUUUAAAGAUAUAUAAAGUUGCGAUGCUGAAAAUAAAUGAUUAUCACAAAAAAUUUGUGCAGGAAAGUUAUACAAAUAAUGUAAAAAGAAACCAAGUAUAAUUAUCGAUGAUGAAACUCAAGUGAACUUAAAUUUUAAAAUAAUCCUAGGACAUUUAUAUAUAGGGGACUGCAGGUAAAUGGCGAACACUAAUUUUAAAACGAUAAAUAUGAAGAAAUUCCUAAAUAAUAUUAUGAUUUGGUCAUAUGUUAACGUCAAGUAAGUCUUAAGUUUUUUUUUAAUUAAUAGUGAAAUUUAUCUAAAGUGUGUAGAGUACUUAGAAAAAGUGUUAUUGCUACUAUAGUAGAUGAACCCACAAUCAGAGUUGCCAUUUUAAUUUUUAAAGUUUUUUCCUGAGUAAAGAACGUUUUCCCCUGAGUUAAACUUUUGAACUCCCUGACUUUUCUAUAUUCUUUCCCGUUCCUGGUGUUAAGAGAAAGCAAAAUUAUUCUUACCUUGACGGUCUUGAAUUCAACUUCAUCACCAAAACUGUUGGCUAAUGAUCAAUAAAGUAAACUUCAAUUCAUGAAAAUUUACUACAUCAAAACCAUAUUUCAACAGUAGUCGAACUAAUCAUAAAUAAUGAAGUAGGGCAGAACUUUAAGGUUGAACUAAAAAAAAUGAUAAAAAAUUUAAUAUAAUAAAAAAAUAUUUAAAACUUGCAUUAAAUAUAUUACUCUUUUAAUGAAAAUUUAAAAAAUUAAUAAUAAAAAAUUGAAUUAUACAUGGUAAACUACCCAGUAGUCGACAACCACUUAAAGUCUUUUUUUUUUCGAGACGUUUUGUCACUAAAAAAUAGACUGAGUAGAUACUAAAGUAAAGUGUCAAAAUAGGGUCUGAAAUGAUCACCUAUCUUUCCUUCUAUCUGAAUUUCUAUCUGAAUGAUCACCUAUCUUUCCUUUACAUAUGAAGGAAAUUGGGUUAUCAUAAACAUAAUAAAUGCAUAUGAUUUGGAGCAAAAAAGUUCCAAAAAUACCCUUAAACUCUUAGAAAUCAUAACUGUUUCCAGAUUACCAUAAGAAAUGCAUGACAAAUAUAAUGUAUUUGAAAUUUUUUUUUUAUGCUGACACUAAAAUAGAUAAACAAAAAAAAAUUAUUAUUAUUAUUACUUUAUAGUAUAAUAUAGGUUCCUAGCCACAUAUUUUAUGUAACUUUGGCCAGAGGUUUGUUUGAAACAAACACUUUUGAACUUUCACUGCAUUCUAGUCAUUAACAGAAUUUUUUUUGUUUGUUUGCUAUGAUUUUUAGAGAUUUACUACAAAAAAUGGUCAAAUGAUUUAGAAGAAUAUAAACGAAUUUAAUAAUAAUAGAAACAUUCAUUUGAGAACUCCUUGGUUUGGAUUCAACUCGGGGGGAUUAACAGUGUUUGAAUUUGAAACAUUGUUAAUAAAUCUUAUCUUUAUCUUAAUGUUUCGGCAUUGUUUCCUACUCUGUUUUGACAUUAAAAUAAAUUAAAUUAAAAAUAAAACAAAGUUAAGAUGUCUCCUAAAAUAAGCAGCUGCUCCAGAAUGGCAUCACAGUCCCAAGGAUGAUAUUGACAAUGCAAGUGGAGACUUAAAAGGUAAAUUAGACAUUUUUAAUGUCAUAUUAGUUAAUUAAUUCUAUAAUCAGUUUUUACUGUAGUCAAAGCCUAGUUGUUGAAGCAACAGUGUGGUGACAUGCAAUUAACAGUGGCAAAAGGAGAAGUUUGCAAUUUGGAGAAAGCUACAGAUUGAGAAAAAAACAACAGUGUGCUUACAUUUAAAAGAAAUAUUCUGUUGUCAAGUUGAACUCGCCCUCCCUGGCAAGUUCUGGUUGACAACAGCAAGAAAACUCAAAAAUCAUUGGUGAAUUAUGCGCAGAAUAGAAAUAUCCAUCCUUUUUUUUUUGUGCUUACAGGCCAUCUGGAAAUGGAAUUGUUGAACGUCACCAUCACACAAUCAAAAGUAUGGCAGCCAGAAGUGGCAAAAAUCCAUUAAAAAUGAUAUAUUGGUAUAACGUGCUUCCCAGAAAAAAAGGUGACAAAGCAUCGCUCCCCUACAAAGCUAUAUUUUCCUAUGAGUGGAAACCACACACAAUUUCUUCCAAAACUAAUGAGGAAGUUCUCCACAACUAUACACAAGGACAAAAAAAUUUUUUAAACCACCUGAUUCAAAAUGUACGAAAAAAUGGAACAGAGAAAGAGUCUCAGAUGAAGGACAAGGAGUUUCGGUAGAAAUCAAUGGAUUGCCAAGACACAUGGAAAUUAAAUUGCAUUCAACUAGAUGCUUAUUCAAAAGCUUGGGCUAAAUUUAGGUUUAUUACUUUCUUUCUUUUCAGCAAACAUUGGUGCUAAUGGGUCUCUUCCUCCACCUUUAAUAUCUAUGCUAACAAAAUAAUUCCGAUGAACGUGUUCAAGGCAUAUCCAGAAAUGCUUGCUGCUAUUUGAAAAAGCAAGUCUGGCUAUAUAAACAAUGAGCUUUUACAUAAAUAUAAAUAUCAAAAACUCAUUUAGAAAACUUGGCAUCUAUCCCUUUAACACAGAAGCCCCAGAUUACAGCAAACUACUAAAAGAGGUUCAGUAUUCAAGCGAGGCGUUUUUUUUUUGAAGGUGAAAGAUGGAAAGGUGGAACGAAGCAAGCAAGUAGAUCCCAUUCAGAAAGUAAAUGCUAGGACUCAAACCUUAUCUGAUAAAUAUUGCACUAAUCUUAUAGAAUCACUGGGAAAAAGCGCAACUAUAAAGUUAUGUUCAUUUUGGCGCGAUGACUUGGUCAUUGAGUGUUCUCAUUUAGAAUCAUUGCGUUUUAUCACUAGAGAAAAAUGAUUAAACAUUUUGCAAAGAAGAAAUGCAGAUAAAUCAUCAACAAGCCCUGUAGAUGAAAGAAGCUAUGUAAAAGGCGUGACAGAGGAAUCAUUUUUACCUCCUCAUGCCUUUACUCUAUCAACAUUGCUUUCUAAACUAACAGCUAUAAGCAAAGCCUUACUACAUCAUAGAUAGUUUCCAUCGCCAAAGAAGACUGUUCCUAAAGUUAGGAUAGUAGCUCAAGAACUUCAUACAACAUCUGUCUUAAAAACAAGUAGUUUCUUUGUUAGGGGAUAUCCAACAAAAAAAAAAAAAAGACACUAUUGCUGCCGAAGAAGGUCACAAACAAGUACGAUUGACAAAUGCAGAAAAGAAAAAAAAAAAACAUAAACGGCUGUUGUUAAAGGAAAAUUAAACUGCGAUACUAAGAAAAGCACAAAAUCAAAGCAGAAAAAUAAUGUAUACUAAUUUAGUUCAAAUUGUAAUCAUUUAUCCUACCCUGUUAAAUAUAAAGUACAGACUUUUAAA
rnacentral:lncRNA from 1 species